rnacentral:lncRNA from 1 species
UGACAAUGGUUAAAUCUUCCAGAACUGGAGAGCCUGAGAUAAGUUUCUCCACAGUUGCCUCAGUGAGAUCUGUAAUGUAUUCUAAAUGCAUGAUCUUAAGGCAUGGUAAGGAAACAACCUCCAGGUUAGCCAAGACAACCCAACAAAGGCGUAAGUGCACCAGUGUCUUGCAUGUAUAUAGACUGACGGGCAUCGUAACAUCGCAACAAUAAGGGCCGUAAUAACAAACAUCGAGAUGCUGAACACUACGCCUAAUCGAAAUAUCAGUCCAUUUGGUGAGGAGGGACUUACAAUCAGAAUAAUGAACACUUAACCUUAUUUUGUCUAUCAUUGAUUCCCUGUGUGAAUCAAAAAAACUUCGAACAAAACUCACAAAGGUAUCCAUAUCCAAGAAUUCAAAGGAGUCUAAGUCCAAUCCACGAACACUCUUCCAGUGAUUAAUCCAUGUUCCGGACAAAACGCCUGUUCUUACAGCAUGCUUUGUAGGAACACGAAUAAGUAUGUCGCUUAUCAAAUCAUCGGGUAGUUGGCAUAUCCAUCUUCUUUGUGACCCUUUGUCACAUGUUUUUGCUUUUCUCUUUCGACCCACCAUCUUUUUUUUCGUCACACAACUAGUCUGCAUCAUCAAGUUUAAGACAAAUUAAACUGAAAUUUACAGACACAAUAUAAUCUAGUUUCCAAUCAAACACGAAAUAACGAUGCGUAGAAGUUUCGGUCAUAUAUGAAUUUCAACCAGCCUAGUCUAAAUGAUACCCUAAAGAGAUAGAUAGAGGGUCGAUGUUAGCACUGAAGAAGAAGAAGGCCGCCUUCAAGAAACAGUAAAAGAAGAAGAACGCACCUGAAUGGAGUUUUGAUCAGCACUGAAGAUCAAACCUCAUCGGCCGCCUUCACGUACGGUCAUGCUUUCUUAUCUGUAGCAGAUGAUUUGUGUAACGUAUAUAUAUGAGGGAUGAGGGAUAAGGGUAAAAGAUAGGAUUCUUUCGUGUGACCAGUAUGAGUUUAGGGUUUCUUUAUGAGAAAUGGGAAAUGGACACGUUGAAUGCAAAAACGCCUAGCAGUUUAUGGUUUGAUGAAAACGGUGCGUCGGGUUAGUGAUCCUAGAAACGACGUCGGUUCUUCGACAAAUCAAAUAUAUUGAUAUCAUAAAGAGUUUGCCAAAUGUAACCAUUUCAAUAUUACUACUGAUCCAAAUUUAGGAAUUUGUAACAAUUACGAUGAAAGAGAGGAGAGCAAAAAAAAAAAAUCAAUUUUAUUGUUGGUUUCUUAUUAAUAUAAAUAAUCAAAUAUAUCAUAUUAACUAAUUUUUAAGUGGUCUUACUAUGAAUUGUUAAUGGUUGAUAAAAAUAAGACCUAAAUUAAUAGAUUAGAUAUAGAUGAGUGGUUAAAAAUAUUGUUUUUGACUUUUUAGUUUAAGUAUUUUAUUUUCUGUAUUGUGAUUUUUCUUAGACUUUUGAAUGUCUUUGUUUUUAUUUUAUGUUCACAUUUUGUUUAUCUUUUUUGUUUUGGGCAACUGAUUUGUUAUAUAUUUUGUUUCUAUUAUCUUUGUUACUUAAUGUUAGAAUAUAACGGUUCAAGAAACUACCAUAAUGUGAUCUAUUAUCUGUUAAAAACUAAAUAUUACAGAUACAGUAUCAAUUAAUGGUCUACUAUUCAUCUAAUAUUUUCAUGCACGGCUAAACAAAAAUUUGUAUCUCUUAAAAAGAAAAUAUUGUAUAUAAAACAUAGAGUGAUUUACGUAGAAAUAUCAUUAAAUAACAGCCACUAUUUCUUUGUUGUAUGUCAUUAAAUAUUGUCAUUAAAUAAUAUUUUUUUUGAGAAAAUUAAUAGAUUUGACUUUUUCUCAAAGAAGAUUUAUAAAUAUUAUUUGGAAUCUGGUCAAUGUUAUACAACAAAGAAAUUUUUGAAAAAAGAAUUUGAAAUAUCUUCAAAAAGAAAAUAACCAAAUGGUGUUGCACAAGAAAAAACAAGAUGGAUUAGAAGAAAAGUUCAACAGAUUUUAAUCUUUGUGUUGUACACUUGUAUUGUUUUUUAAUCUUAUCUUUGCAAUUGAUUGUAUUUCUGUUAUUUUCUAUAUUUUUAUUGUAACUUUACAUUUUAUUUAAAUAAAAUAGUUGUUAAAAAACAAAUUUAAAAUAGGACCUCACUAUAAGUUCCCUCUACUACAUAACAUAACUAAUUUUGUUCAUGUCUACCGCAACAGCUUCGUGGGACUUGACAAACACUUUUUUUUUUUGAACUGAGGCUUAAACUUGACAAACACUUAACAAGCCAAAAACAAGAAAAAUAACAUAUUGAUAUAAAUAUCCCAAGUAACGCUUGAAUAAUUUGCGGAAAUGUUUAUAAAAUUCAAAAUAAAGUUUUAAAACGGUUAUUAAUACAUGAGAAAUAUUCCUCAAAUCAACCAGUUUUUAACAUCCAAAUUUACCUCAAAUGAAAUGUCUUUUUUUUCAGAGAACAAUGACUUCACAAGCGCUAGAACAUCUAGGCAAUGCAACGACUUCUUUAAGGAAAUCACGCAUGCCUUUUUUGGUAUAGUAAGUAUCAAGCCUUAGUUUCUCCAGGAUUGGUGAAUUCUUGAGGAAGUAUCUUACUAGCUCUACUUCUCCUUCAUACUUUGGGAUCAAACGUAUCAAUUCCACGACCUUGAGUGAUGACACCAAACACGGAGGCACUGUUGAAAACAUCAACUUCGGUUCUCUGUUCUUCUUAUAACUCGGGUCCUUGAUCAACUCCUGCAAAUACAUAAGAUAAAAAAAAUUGAGAAUAAAGUGGUAAAUUAAAAGCUGUUCACAUACAAUUUCCAUAACUCGAAGGGUUAUAAAGCAAUUCAUUACCAAUAUGAGAGAUUGUAGUUUCGGGCAGCUUUCAAGAAUUGAUGGCAACAUUUCAAGAUCGGAUUUAGAGAACUUAACAUGCAAACGGGAUAGGUCACGGAACUGAAGCAAUGGUCCCGGUUCGGAGUGUAGAAAGAUGUUCUGUAAAAGAGUAAAACAAAAACAAAAUGUUGGUUAGAAACUUUUUGAGAAAGAAUAUUAAAAGGAAUGCUCAAAAAUUAAAGGGUCUCAAAAUUAAAUAACAUGACUACCUUCAAAAUGUAACUACUUAUAACAAUGCCUCUGAACCUCGGAAUAUCGGUGAGGGUAUCACAAAUGAAUCUUUUGGUGCAAGUCAGACGAGGGAAGACCGCAUAAAUCUCUAGUGUGGUAGAGCAACCCAAAUUGAUGAUUUUGAAGUUCUUUGAUACGUAACCCCUAGUCUUCAAACACUCGAGUAGAGGAGCAUUAAUCACAACUUCUGUAUACGAAUCUAUGUGGAUUCUCUUGAGGGUAUUAGAGCGCAACUCUAUAAACCUUUCACCACGAGUUUCUCUGACAAUGGUUAAAUCUUCCAGAACUGGAGAGCCUGAGAUAAGUUUCUCCACAGUUGCCUCAGUGAGAUCUGUAAUGUAUUCUAAAUGCAUGAUCUUAAGGCAUGGCAAGGAAACAACCUCCAGGUUAGCCAAGACAACCCAACAAAGGCGUAAGUGCACCAGUGUCUUGCAUGUAUAUAGACUGACGGGCAUCGUAACAUCGCAACAAUAAG